UACGUGUUAAAUGCAAAAUCGCACGUACACGUAGGUCUACGUGUAUAACCUGCUGAAGAGAGGUGAAGGAGGACUUGAUCUUGCCAUUCUUGGUCUGAUAACCGACAUGGAGGAAGCCCUUAUCCUAGAAGUGUGGGAAAAUCCAAACCUGUAUGACAAGAGAUUGGAGAUGAUUAAGGACACAGAAGUAAAAAGCGAUGUAUGACAUGACAUUGGGCGUCAGCUUGUAAUCUCAGGUGACGUAGCGAGGUGAGGGACAACUAC